AACGUAGGAGGCGAGCGUUAUCCGGAUUUACUGGGUGUAAAGCGCGUGCAGGCGGUUAGCUAAGUUGGGUGUGAAAGCUCCCGGCUCAACUGGGAGAGGUCGCUCAAGACUGGCUGGCUCGAGGAUGGUAGGGGAAGGUGGAAUUCCGGGUGUAGUGGUGAAAUGCGUAGAUAUCCGGAGGAACACCAGUGGCGAAGGCGGCCUUCUGGACCAUCACUGACGCUCAGACGCGAAAGCUAGGGUAGCAAACGGGAUUAGAGACCCCGGUAGUCCUAGCCGUAAACGAUGUGAACUUGGCGCUGGUCGGGUAAAACUGAUCCGUGCCGCAGCAAACGCGAUAAGUUCACCACCUGGGGACUACGGCCGCAAGGUUAAA
rnacentral:rRNA from 1 species